rnacentral:rRNA from 1 species
GUGCAGCAGGCGCGAAUACUUUACAAUGUGCGAAAGCACGAUAAGGGAACUCUGAGUGCCUCCUAAGGAGGCUGUUCAGGUGUCUAAAAGCACCUGAAGGAAGGGCUGGGUAAGACCGGUGCCAGCCGCCGCGGUAACACCGGCAGCCCAAGUGGUAGCCACGUUUAUUGGGUCUAAAGCGUCCGUAGCCGGCUGGGUAAGUUCCUUGGGAAAUUUGGCUGCUUAACAGUCAAGCUUUCAGGGAAUACUGCCCCGGCUUGGGGACCGGGAGAGGUCAGAGGUACUCCAGGGGUAGGGGUGAAAUCCAUUAAUCCUUGGGGGACCACCGGUAGCGAAGGCGUCUGACCAGACCGGGUCCGACGGUGAGGGACGAAGGCUA